rnacentral:rRNA from 1 species
AUUGAACGCUGGCGGCAUGCUUUACACAUGCAAGUCGAACGGCAGCGCGGGCUUCGGCCUGGCGGCGAGUGGCGAACGGGUGAGUAAUACAUCGGAACGUGCCCUGUAGUGGGGGAUAGCUCGGCGAAAGCCGGAUUAAUACCGCAUACGACCUGAGGGUGAAAGCGGGGGAUCUUCGGACCUCGCGCUAUUGGAGCGGCCGAUGGCGGAUUAGCUAGUUGGUGGGGUAAAGGCCUACCAAGGCGACGAUCUGUAGCUGGUCUGAGAGGACGACCAGCCACACUGGGACUGAGACACGGCCCAGACUCCUACGGGAGGCAGCAGUGGGGAAUUUUGGACAAUGGGCGAAAGCCUGAUCCAGCAAUGUCGCGUGUGUGAUGAAGGCCUUCGGGUUGUAAAGCACUUUUGGCGGGAACGAAAAGGACUGUGCCAAUACCACGGUUCGAUGACGGUACCCGCAGAAUAAGCACCGGCUAACUACGUG